UGCUGCCUCGCGCGGCGGCGGCUCGUCACAAGCAAACGGAGAUCCUUCAUCGCUCAUACUGUCGCUGAAAUCACCGCUGUCUACGGUAGUUUGAAUGAG
rnacentral:lncRNA from 1 species